rnacentral:piRNA from 1 species
GUGAAUUGUAGUCUAAAGCUGCUUUGU